rnacentral:tRNA from 1 species
GGGUCUAUAGCUCAGCUGGUUAGAGCGCACGCCUGAUAAGCGUGAGGUCGGUGGU